UACGUAGGGGGCAAGCGUUGUCCGGAUUUAUUGGGCGUAAAGAGCGUGUCGGCGGUUCGGUAGGUCCGUUGUGAAAACUCGAGGCUCAACCUCGAGACGCCGAUGGAAACCCCCGAACUAGAGUCCGGAAGAGGAGAGUGGAAUUCCUGGUGUAGCGGUGAAAUGCGCAGAUAUCAGGAAGAACGCCCGUGGCUAAGGCGGCUCUCUAGUACGGUACUGACGCUGAGACGCGAAAGCGUGGGGAGCGAACAGG
rnacentral:rRNA from 1 species